CCUACGGGAGGCAGCAGUGAGGAAUAUUGGUCAAUGGCCGGAAGGCUGAACCAGCCAAGCCGCGUGAGGGAGGAAGGCGCAGAGAGUCGCAGACCUCUUUUGCCGGGGGACAAAAGGCCGGGCUCGUCCGGUCCUGAGGGUACCCGGCUAAAAAGCAGCGGCUAACUCCGUGCCAGCAGCCGCGGUAAUACGGAGGAUGCCAGCGUUAUCCGGAUUCAUUGGGUUUAAGGGGUGCGCAGGGGGUCCUUUAAGCCGUCGGUGAAAUCGAGGGGCUCAACCCCGCCGAGCCUGCGAAACUGGGGGCCUUGAGUGCGGCGGAGGCAUGCGGAAUGCGCGGUGUAGCGGUGAAAUGCAUAGAUAUCGCGCAGAACCCCGAGUGCGAAGGCAGCGUGCCGGGCCGCCACUGACAGUGAGGCUCGAAAGUGUGGGUAUCAAACAGGAUUAGAUACCCUUGUAGUC
rnacentral:rRNA from 1 species